GGGGGAGGCAAGUCGUAACACGGUAAGUGUACCGGAAGGUGCACUUGGAACAAACCCAGGGCAUGGCUGAGUUAGUCAAGCAUCUCACUUACACCGAGAAGACAUCCAUGCAAAUUGGAUUACCCUGAGCCAAACAGCUAGCUUAUCAACCAACACAACUAAACAAUAUAAAUAAAAUAAAAUAAGCCAAAUACCAAAAACUAAACCAUUCUUUUACCUUAGUAUGGGAGACAGAAAAGGUUCAACCCAAAGCAAUAGAAACAGUACCGCAAGGGAAAGCUGAAAGAGAAAUGAAAUAACCCAUAUAAGCACCAAAAAGCAAAGACUAAACCUUGUACCUUUUGCAUCAUGAUUUAGCCAGUAACCACAAGCAAAGAGACCUUUAGUUUGAAACCCCGAAACCAGGUGAGCUACCCCGAGACAGCCUAUUAGGGCCAACCCGUCUCUGUGGCAAAAGAGUGGGAAGAGCUCCGGGUAGAAGUGACAGACCUACCGAACCUGGUGAUAGCUGGUUGCCUAAGAAAUGAAUAGAAGUUCAGCCUCGUACACCUCAAACCAAAACACAUAAGCUAAGACACAAUGAGAAAUACACGAGAGUUAGUUAAAGGGGGUACAGCCCCUUUAACAAAGGAUACAACCUUAUUCAGGAGGAUAAUGAUCAUAAUAAACAAAAUAUACUGUUCUAGUGGGCCUAAAAGCAGCCACCUAAGCAGAAAGCGUA
rnacentral:rRNA from 1 species